UGAGGAAUAUUGGACAAUGGGGGAAACCCUGAUCCAGCCAUGCCGCGUGAAUGAUGAAGGCCUUAGGGUUGUAAAGUUCUUUCACGGGUGAAGAUAAUGACGGUAACCCGAGAAGAAGCCCCGGCUAACUUCGUGCCAGCAGCCGCGGUAAUACGAAGGGGGCUAGCGUUGUUCGGAAUCACUGGGCGUAAAGCGCGCGUAGGCGGACAGUCAAGUCAGAUGUGAAAUCCCAGGGCCCAACCCUGGAACUGCAUUUGAAACUGAUUGUCUAGAGACUCGGAGGGGGUAGUGGAAUUUCUAAUGUAGGGGUGAAAUCCGUAGAGAUUAGAAGGAACACCGGUGGCGAAGGCGGCUACCUGGACGAGUACUGACGCUGAGGUGCGAAAGCGUGGGGAGCAAACAGG
rnacentral:rRNA from 1 species